UACGUAGGCAGCGAGCGUUGUUCGGAGUUACUGGGCGUAAAGGGUGUGUAGGCGGUCCUCUAAGUUUGGUGUGAAAUCUCCCGGCUCAACCGGGGAGGGUCACUCGAUACUGAUCGACUUGAAGGCAGGAGAGGGAAGCGGAAUUCCCGGUGUAGUGGUGAAAUGCGUAGAUAUCGGGAGGAACACCAGUGGCGAAGGCGGCUUCCUGGCCUGUUCUUGACGCUGAGGCGCGAAAGCUAGGGGAGCAAACGGG
rnacentral:rRNA from 1 species